AUAAAUACAUGGCAGUAAAACUCAACAGCCCUGUCGGGUAACACUUUAUUUGAAGGGUCUGCAUAAGACCGACAUGACACCGCCAUAACUAUGCCAUCACACCUAUCAUGACAUUUAGGUCUUUUUGAAUGAUCAUGUCAUUCGUAAAUAUGACACUUUUAAUGCAACAUUAGCAUUGUA